rnacentral:rRNA from 1 species
AGUGAACGCUGGCGGUAGGCCUAACACAUGCAAGUCGAACGGCAGCACAGUAAGAGCUUGCUCUUACGGGUGGCGAGUGGUGGACGGGUGAGGAAUACAUCGGAAUCUACUUUUUCGUGGGGGAUAACGUAGGGAAACUUACGCUAAUACCGCAUACGACCUGCGGGUGAAAGCAGGGGAUCUUCGGACCUUGCGCGAUUGAAUGAGCCGAUGUCGGAUUAGCUAGUUGGCGGGGUAAAGGCCCACCAAGGCGACGAUCCGUAGCUGGUCUGAGAGGAUGAUCAGCCACACUGGAACUGAGACACGGUCCAGACUCCUACGGGAGGCAGCAGUGGGGAAUAUUGGACAAUGGGCGCAAGCCUGAUCCAGCCAUACCGCGUGGGUGAAGAAGGCCUUCGGGUUGUAAAGCCCUUUUGUUGGGAAAGAAAAGCAGCAGGUUAAUACCCCGCUGUUCUGACGGUACCCAAAGAAUAAGCACCGGCUAACUUCGUG